rnacentral:rRNA from 1 species
CUUAAGUCUGAUGUGAAAGCCUUCGGCUUAACCGGAGAAGUGCAUCGGAAACUAGGAUAACUUGAGUGCAGAAGAGGGUAGUGGAACUCCAUGUGUAGCGGUGGAAUGCGUAGAUAUAUGGAAGAACACCAGUGGCGAAGGCGGCUACCUGGUCUGCAACUGACGCUGAGACUCGAAAGCAUGGGUAGCGAACAGGAUUAGAUACCCUGGUAG